GGUCCAUGAGUUUCCUCGAUCAAAAACAAGAAAGUGUCCGAGUCCUAAUUGAGGUUCUCGAACCUAACUUAAUGUCUGCAGCAUACUAACAAGACAUUCUGAAGGUCGUGUUAGAUGGAUGGUUACCAGGAAUGGAAAGAAUAUGGUCUCUGGGGUUUUUCUUUUCGGACACCAGGGAGUUUUGCAUGAGAAGAACAGAUUUCCAUUAUUUAUUUGUUGACUCGGUUGUUCCCAGUGUGAAGUAAACAUUGUAAAAUGUGGAUAGCAGAAGACAGAGCAGUGGAUGGCUGGGCAAUUACAAUCAUCGUGAGGCUGCCAUCAGUCACUUUGUGCUAACGAUUACCCCGGCCAAUAGGAAAGCAGAUUGGACACAUAAGCCCUCUCCACCAGAACCAGCAUGUACGCAUAUAUCUCCCAUUCACAGGGCUUAGGAACAAGACACAAACCAGAUUUCCUUUUACUGAAAUGCCUCUUAGCAAUAAAUUCUCCUAAAACAA